rnacentral:rRNA from 2 species
UACAGAGGGUGCAAGCGUUAAUCGGAAUUACUGGGCGUAAAGGGUGCGUAGGUGGUUUAAUAAGUUGGGUGUGAAAGUCCUGGGCUCAACCUGGGGACUGCGCUCAAUACUGUUAAGCUAGAGUACUGUAGAGGAAGGUGGAAUUUCCAGUGUAGCGGUGAAAUGCGUAGAUAUUGGAAGGAACAUCAGUGGCGAAGGCGACUUUCUGGACAGAUACUGACACUGAGGCACGAAAGCGUGGGGAGCAAACAGG